GACAGAGGGGGCAAGCGUUGCUCGGAAUUACUGGGCGUAAAGGGCGCGUAGGCGGGAUGGCAAGUCGGUCGUGAAAUCCCUCGGCUCAACUGAGGAUCGUCGAUCGAUAUUGCCGUUCUUGAGGAUUGCAGAGGAGACUGGAAUUCCCGGUGUAGCGGUGAAAUGUGUAGAGAUCGGGAGGAACACCGGUGGCGAAGGCGGGUCUCUGGGCAAUUCCUGACGCUGAGGCGCGAAAGCGUGGGGAGCAAACGGG
rnacentral:rRNA from 1 species